UGAUCUGGAAAAAGUCAAAGAUGACCCAAAGAACAUUCCCUUAAAAAUCUACACUCAAGAUGUUGCCAAUUGUGCCCAUUAUAAAACCAUAAGAGUAAAGAACUCACACACCGCCAACGAAGUUGUGCAGAUGGUUUUGUCAAUUCUAAGAGUAACCGGCUCAGACACAGAUUACCAGUUGUGGGUAAAUUCUGGAAAGAAAAAGGAAGGAUAUCCCCUUGUUGGACACGAAUACCCAUACGGGAUACUGAUGAGUCACCUUCGAGACAGUGAACUCAUGAGAACAGG